GGCCAUGUGCCCGAGUGGUCCCAGGGAUCCGCCUGCACAGCGGUUGACGCGGGUUCGAAUCCCGUCAUGGCCU
rnacentral:tRNA from 1 species